UAGGAUUCCCUCAGUAGCGGCGAGCGAACAGGGAAGAGCCCAGCACCGAAUCCCGCGGCCUCACCGGCCGCCGGGAAAUGUGGUGUUAGGGAGGAUCGCACUCCUGCGGUCUCGCGGCGCGUCCAAGUCCUUCUUGAACGGGGCCACAGCCCAUAGAGGGUGCCAGGCCCGUAGCGACCGCCGCGGACCGUGGGACGGUCUCUCCUCAGAGUCGGGUUGCUUGAGAGUGCAGCCCUAAGUGGGUGGUAAACUCCAUCUAAGGCUAAAUAUGACCACGAGACCGAUAGCGAACAAGUACCGUGAGGGAAAGUUGAAAAGAACUUUGAAGAGAGAGUUCAAUAGUACGUGAAACCGUUCAGGGGUAAACCUGAGAAUCCCGAAAGGUCGAAAGGGGAGAUUCAUCGCGGCUCGUCUCCGGAGCCCGACGCGAUGGUGACUGCCGGCGUACGCGUCGGUCGCGCCUCGCGUUGGAGCACUCCUGGCGGCGAACGCGUGCACUUCUCCCCCAGUAGGACGUCGCGAUCCGUUGGGCGUCGGUCUAAGGCCCGCGGUGGAGCCCUGACCGGAACUCGUUCCGCCAGGACCCGCGGUGCUUCCCGACCGGCUCGCUCGACGGUACACAGAUGGCGCGGGGCCGCGACUCGUUCGCGACCGGCCCGCGGCAAGCGCGACGCGCGUUCCGGCUGUCGGACCUGGUGCCGGCACCGGACCGCGUCGGCUGUUCGCCGCGGUGUUCCCGGUCAGACUCCGUUCACGCCGAUCUGCGACGCUAUAGCUUUGGGUACUUUCAGGACCCGUCUUGAAACACGGACCAAGGAGUCUAGCAUGUGCGCGAGUCACUGAGACAGAGCGAAACUCAAAGGCGAAAUGAAAGUGAAGGUCCGCCUCGCGCGGACCUAGGGAAGAUGGGCGGUCCGACGAGACCGCCCCGCAUUCCCGGGGCGUCUCGUUCUCAUCGCGAGGAGAGGCGCACCAAGAGCGCACACGCUGGGACCCGAAAGAUGGUGAACUAUGCCUGGUCAGGACGAAGUCAGGGGAAACCCUGAUGGAGGUCCGUAGCGAUUCUGACGUGCAAAUCGAUCGUCGGAACUGGGUAUAGGGGCGAAAGACUAAUCGAACCAUCUAGUAGCUGGUUCCCUCCGAAGUUUCCCUCAGGAUAGCUGGCGCUCGUCGCGCACGAGUCUCAUCCGGUAAAGCGAAUGAUUAGAGGCAUUGGGGUCGAAACGGCCUCAACCUAUUCUCAAACUUUAAAUGGGUGAGAUCUCCGGCUUGCUCGAACUGUUGAAGCCGCGAGAGACGGAUCAGAGUGCCAAGUGGGCCAUUUUUG
rnacentral:rRNA from 1 species